AGUCGAGCGAACAGAUAAGGAGCUUGCUCCUUUGAAGUUAGCGGCGGACGGGUGAGUAACACGUGGGUAACCUACCUAUAAGACUGGAAUAACUUCGGGAAACCGGAGCUAAUGCCGGAUAACAUAUAGAACCGCAUGGUUCUAUAGUGAAAGAUGGUUUUGCUAUCACUUAUAGAUGGACCCGCGCCGUAUUAGCUAGUUGGUAAGGUAAAGGCUUACCAAGGCGACGAUACGUAGCCGACCUGAGAGGGUGAUCGGCCACACUGGAACUGAGACACGGUCCAGACUCCUACGGGAGGCAGCAGUAGGGAAUCUUCCGCAAUGGGCGAAAGCCUGACGGAGCAACGCCGCGUGAGUGAUGAAGGUUUUCGGAUCGUAAAACUCUGUUAUUAGGGAAGAACAAAUGCGUAAGUAACUGUGCGCAUCUUGACGGUACCUAAUCAGAAAGCCACGGCUAACUACGUGCCAGCAGCCGCGGUAAUACGUAGGUGGCAAGCGUUAUCCGGAAUUAUUGGGCGUAAAGCGCGCGUAGGCGGUUUCUUAAGUCUGAUGUGAAAGCCCACGGCUCAACCGUGGAGGGUCAUUGGAAACUGGGAAACUUGAGUGCAGAAGAGGAAAGUGGAAUUCCAUGUGUAGCGGUGAAAUGCGCAGAGAUAUGGAGGAACACCAGUGGCGAAGGCGACUUUCUGGUCUGUAACUGACGCUGAUGUGC
rnacentral:rRNA from 1 species